CAACUGUCUCUUCAUGACUACUUUAAUCAAUCCACAACUCCUUCGCUCUUGGCAUUAGCACGAAACAUAUGUACAUGUACUGCAGAAAAUUAAAAGUGGAAGCUUCAUUGUACGCUGCUACGGCAGUCGCAUAACUUCUUGGGUAGUACUAACCAACAGCCACCACCAUAGUCUUUUAAGGCUUGGUGUGACAGCCCCACUUCUCCCAAGGGCGAACCCAAGGGUAUCGGCGGGCCGCCUGCCUAGCUCGCGCCAGGACUCAAACCUUAAAGCGAUAAAAACUAGAAAAUCCAAAAGAGUACCUUACAUACUAUAUACAAAUCCCAAAAAGAGUUAUAAUUGCAUUCUCCAAAAGUAUCGAGUCAAACCACCAAAACAAAAACAAACAUCCUAACUGUUCAACUAUUACAAGCCAAUCUUACUAUACUAGUAUACGAGCCAAAAGUCCCCGCGUCGGCCCCUGCUAAGGAAAACAAAAGGAAUGGGGUAAGCUAUAUGCUUAGUAAGUAAACAGGGGCGAAAGCAUAAAUUUCACGUAACAGUUACACAAUAAGAGUAAAGCAAAAGCAGAAAAGUAACAUCACAUAAUAAGGAUACAGGUGGCUCCAAAGCCAACUCAUGUGCCAUGCGUGAUCUCCUGCCGACACUCCGUCGACUGCAAAUAAUAGUCCGUAGAACUUCACUUGUACACCCACCGACACCUUUUCACCCUCACUGGCCAGUCACCUCACAAACUUGCCCGGGCGAACGAAAUCACAAACUUGAGCUUGAGUCACAAGCUCGGGUCACAAACUUGGUCACCUUCUCGGUGAACCGGAUUUACAAAAUUGGUUCAUAACAUGAACCUACAAACUUGGUGACCUCAGACUAAGUUGGACUGCCUUCGACCAAGCCCUAACCGGCUCGAAUAGUCCAACCAGGUCAAGAGUUCGCCCCAAACUCACAAACUUCACAAAAUUAUUCAAAAUCACAAACUUUGCAAACUUCACAAAAUUUAUUCGAAAGUCGCCCCGAGCCACAAGCUCUAGGGUUUUGGUUCCAAAAGGUUCAUAUACAUAUGCCAAGUACAAUUAUACAUUCAAAUUAGGGUUUAGGUCGAGUGCGAUAAAGUACACCCUCGCCUAAGUGCCCUUUUCACAUAUCUCAAACACAUAGCAAAGAAAACACACCAAACUGGCCUGAAUACUUACUCAAAAUACCAAAAGUAGUACAAGAUUGCUUCGCGCGUGAUCGCUAGUAGUGGGCCCCACCAGCUCCGCCUAGCUCACCACUAUCUGAAAUACAAGAUUUUAUCACUUAUGUCACAAACGGCUACGAACCGAUCCAAAACAAGUAAAACGGCAAAAUUGGCACACGUAAUUUGCGGAAACGGCAAAAAGGGGCGCACGCGCGCGCGCGGAACGGCAAACGGAAACGGCCACAACUGCCAUCUCAAACCGUUUUGGUCGAAAGUUAGGCUAGGGGUAUCGGAUCAAGGUGAGCGAGACACCGUUUCGAAGCUAUGAGAAAGGGCUACAUUUUUUGUGAAGACACCUUAACCUAGAUUUGAAUAGGUAUAGGUCAAAAAGGCACGAAAUAGUGCCAGCCGUUUCAUGGCGGGUUACCAAACAGGCCCUGUUUACAAGGCCGUAACUCACGGCUCAAAAAUCGAAAUCAAGAAAUUCCAGAGGCGUUAGAAAGCUGAAAUAUAAGUUUAAAACUUUCAUGUUUUGGCCAAUACUUGAAUCCACUCAGAACAGAACGAAAAUCGAGUGCCAAGGUACCCGUCAGAACUGUCCAGAUACAAGGCAGUUCUGACGAGCGAUAUUGUUUUGAUCAUAACAGGGGCUACGGAACUCGGAUUUCGGCGUACUUUAUACCGUUUCGAAGCUAAGAUCAAGAUCUAAAUUUCUUAUGAAGGGAUCAGCACCCAGUUCGUACGGGAUCAAAACCGAAAAAAUCACGGGCAGAAGCUGAAAUUCAAAACGUACACAAACCAAUGUCUAAAACAGGCCUGAGGGUUUUGUCUAUAACUCAGAAUACGCUAACUUGUUUGACCUGAAAUUUUACAGGCAUACUCACGACUCAAGGGGCUACAUUUCCUAAGAAGGCACCAAAACCCAAAUCAGAAGUAAUCCCAACCAAAAUAGCCAAUUACUGAAGCAGUUUUCAAGUUCGGGUAAAAACAGGACAGCAAGGGUAAUUCCGUCUUUUCAUGAGCUACGCUACUCCGAUUGGCCUGAAAUUUUACAGGAACCUCAAACACAUCAAUAUAUACAACUUUAAUGAAGACAAUACAUUCCAGUUCUCAUCCUAACUAGGUCAAAUUUACCAAAACAACCCCAGAUUUUCCAGUUCAAAGUGUACUGCAGCAGUCCUGACUUAUGCAGUCAUAUCUCAGCACCUACAACUCCAAUUGAAGUGAUUCCAAAGCCAUUGGAAAGCUAAGAUACAAGGCUAUAAAUGUUAAGAAGACGUCAACAACCAAAUCAGUAGUAUUCCUGGUCAAAACAACCAAUUACAGAAGCAGAUUAUCAUUCUCGGAUAGAAACAGGGCAGCAGGGGUAUUUCGGUCUUUUCACAGGCUACGUUGCUCCGAUUGGGCUGAAAUUUUACAGGCAACUAGAAAACAUCAUUCUCUACAACUUUCAUGUUUUGUGCUAAGGCCAAUUCGGCCUCUAACCUGGUCGAACAGAAACGGACAGAAAGGGGAAAAAUGAAACCUUAAACUGGAAUUUCCAUAAUACUACUUCCAACUAUGAAAUAUACUCAUAAACUACCAAAACUACAACUUUCAACCACUAAUUACCAAUUAAUUGAAGUAAAGAAGAGGUUCUUGGUAAAAUACCUUGAAAACUCAAGAAAAAUGGUAGCUUAGGCUUUGUCCUCCAAAAAUCCUUCCAUAAACACCUUGGAAACUACUUGGAAAGCAAGUUUUAUGGAGUAGUUUGCAAAUUAAUCGGUUAAAACUCAAAAUUUGGACAAGAAAUUGAAGUGGAAGAUGAAGGGAUUUUCUCUCUUUUCUCUCUCUCUAAUUCAG
rnacentral:lncRNA from 1 species